rnacentral:rRNA from 1 species
UGUGACGUUACCAAACUGUUGCCUCGGCGGGAUCUCUGCCCCGGGUGCGUCGCAGCCCCGGACCAAGGCGCCCGCCGGAGGACCAACCAAAACUCUUUUUGUAUACCCCCUCGCGGGUUUUUUUAUAAUCUGAGCCUUCUCGGCGCCUCUCGUAGGCGUUUCGAAAAUGAAUCAAAACUUUCAACAACGGAUCUCUUGGUUCUGGCAUCGAUGAAGAACGCAGCGAAAUGCGAUAAGUAAUGUGAAUUGCAGAAUUCAGUGAAUCAUCGAAUCUUUGAACGCACAUUGCGCCCGCCAGUAUUCUGGCGGGCAUGCCUGUCCGAGCGUCAUUUCAACCCUCGAACCCCUCCGGGGGGUCGGCGUUGGGGAUCGGCCCUGCCUCUUGGCGGCGGCCGUCUCCGAAAUACAGUGGCGGUCUCGCCGCAGCCUCUCCUGCGCAGUAGUUUGCACACUCGCAUCGGGAGCGCGGCGCGUCCACAGCCGUUAAACACCCAACUUCUGAAAUGUUGACCUCGGAUCAGGUAGGAAUACCCGCUGAACUUAAGCAUAUCAAUAAGCGGAGGAA